rnacentral:tRNA from 1 species
GGGGAUUUAGCUCAGUGGUAGAGCACUUGCCUAGCAAGCGCAAGGCCCUGGGUUCGGUCCUCAGCUCUGGAAAAAAAAAAAGGUCCUGAGUUCAAAUCCCAGCAACCACA